GAUGAACGCUGGCGGCGUGCCUAAUACAUGCAAGUCGAGCGAAUGGAUUGAGAGCUUGCUCUUAUGAAGUUAGCGGCGGACGGGUGAGUAACACGUGGGUAACCUGCCCAUAAGACUGGGAUAACUCCGGCAAACCGGGCCUAAUACAGGAUAACAUUUUGAACCGCAUGGGUCGAAAUUGAAAGGCGGCUUCGGCUGUCACUUACGGCUGGACCCGCGUGGCAUUAGCGAGUUGGUGAGGUAACGGCUCACCAAGGCAACGAUGCGUAGCCGACCUGAGAGAGUGAUCGGACACACUGGGACUGAGACACGGCCCAGACUCCUACGGGAGGCAGCAGUAGGGAAUCUUCCGCAAUGGACGAAAGUCUGACGGAGCAACGCCGCGUGAGUGAUGAAGGCUUUCGGGUCGUAAAACUCUGUUGUUAGGGAAGAACAAGUGCUAGUUGAAUAAGCUGGCACCUUGACGGUACCUAACCAGAAAGCCACGGCUAACUACGUGCCAGCCGCCGCAGUAA
rnacentral:rRNA from 1 species